rnacentral:lncRNA from 1 species
AUACCACUUGUCAGAUCGUUGACACUAACCAUUAAUCUCAAAAGCUCGAGCUGUUAGAAAUACACAACCAAUUAACUUAAAGCGUACAAAUACAGCGCCCACGGAUCUCGAUUGUGACUCGGCCCACCCGGCCUCACGCCACUUCGAACAUGACUCGGCCCACCUAGCCUCACGCCAGUUCGAACGUGACUCGGCCCAACCCGGCCUACUACCACAGGGCAGAAUACUGGCC